rnacentral:lncRNA from 1 species
GUAACAAAUUUCAAAAUUACCUAAUUGUUUACGCUGAAGUAAAUAUGCAUGGAAUCUAACUAUCCCUUCUUGUACAUAUUUUUAUUAAGCAUUAUUAAUCUCUUUAUUUCUAUGUACUGCUCUCUGUUUUAUGAAAAUAUUGAAAUAUCCUACAUAGGUGGGGAUUGUACAAGAUGGCUUCACAAUCAUACGAGCAAAUGAAUAAUUUUUUAUAUCACGACAUUCUCUUAACGC